GGGGGGGGGGCAGGUAGUGCAUUUCAGAUCUAAACUGUAACACGAGCACACUUUGUUUCUUCUUGGUCCUUUUCUCCUGCAACCUAGAACACAAGGGCUCCACCUUGGAAGGUAAAGUUGUGGCUACACCUGGUCAAGCAAAAACAGAAAAAACCUGGGUCCCUGACACUGAAGAGAGGGAUAUUCCUGAACCAUCUCCCCAGACCCCUUCAGAAAGAGAAAAUGUGAACUUGGAGGAAGAGUCCAAACAAGGUCUCCAGCCAAGGAGAUUUAAGUCACACUGAAAUGCCACCCCCAGGCAAUGCAGCAUUAGCUCCCUGGAUCUACCUAGCAGAAGAAAGUUGUAACAGCCUGGAACUGGGCUGGUGAAAAGCUCCAGAAAUGGGUUUGCUAUUUGGAGAUAAAGAAUAUAAGCCAGACA
ensembl:lncRNA